CCUGCGGGCAGCAGAGUGGGAGAAGGGUGGUUAGUAGCGAACUCCUCUGCUGUGACGGAACCUCAGGUCUGGCUGAGGUCCUGCACUCAGAGGUGAGACAGUCCUUUCUGUGCCCCUCCACUCAGCCUGUGGAGCCCGAGCUCUGGCAAGAGGACAUGGAGGCAGCACUGAAGCGAAAAGCGCCCGGGGCACUGGUGAAAAUACGACUGCUGGCUUGCUCGCUCAGCAGAUGCCGCGUGGAGUGAAACUGCUGCCGCAGAAGCACCUGCCUGUGCAUGGGGUCUGGGGGUCUGCAGGGCUCACCAGUGACACCCGGGGAAGCUGAGUCGCUAGUGAGAUGCGGCCCAGGCUCCAGUGUUCAGCUGUCUGGCUGCAGAGCUCCACCUCCCCACACGCAUGUCCCGAGGUCAGCAGGGCAGGAGGACAGCUCACACAGACCCUGCACCACAGGGAGUGGCAUGCGAGCACCGCCUUCGAGGGGCCUUCGACGGGUCCAGGAGUAAAGGAAGAGCAACCCAGGAGGAAAGCACGGUCUGAGCACAAGCAUUGAGACCAGAAAGGGGCCAAGACGCAGGACAGCAAGCUGCUGACGAGCCAAAGGCCCGGGAGUGCAGGUCUCUCCUGGCUCGGGGCUCCACAGCAAACGUGCUGGGCACUGCACACAUCACCAGGUCAUUUCUGAUGCUCAGAGCAGCGAUGAGAAUGCUCGGAAACUCCAGGUUUCCAAGCAGACGUCAGGGAAGGAGUCAUCACGAGUCAGUUCCUGGCUGCUGAGAGUCCGAGCCAUGCUGGUUUGGUACCAAGACCAGAGCCUCCCGUGCAGCCGUCCCCAGACCUUCCUGCUUUCUGCAGAGGCCAGUGUCACAGGCGCACAGGAAAGGCUGCUCGAGAGGGGGGCCAGGCAGGUGGACAAGCGCACCAGGACAGAAGACUGCAAAUCAAAGCCAACAAAACAAAGCCUGCGACGGGCCGGCCUGGGAAGCUCAGGUUCUCCAGGACAAGAAGGGCAGAAGCAAGCAGGAGAG
rnacentral:lncRNA from 1 species